GACGAACGCUGGCGGCGUGCUUAACACAUGCAAGUCGAACGGUGAAGGGACUGGUUUUGCUGGUCCUGGAUGAGUGGCGAACGGGUGAGUAACACGUGAGUAACCUGCCCCCUUCUUCUGGAUAACCGCAUGAAAGUGUGGCUAAUACGGGAUAUUCUGGGUCUGUCGCAUGGUGGGCCUGGGAAAGAUUGCGCCUUUUUUGGUGUUUUUGGUGGGGGAUGGGCUCGCGGCCUAUCAGCUUGUUGGUGGGGUGAUGGCCUACCAAGGCGGUGACGGGUAGCCGGCCUGAGAGGGUGGACGGUCACACUGGGACUGAGACACGGCCCAGACUCCUACGGGAGGCAGCAGUGGGGAAUAUUGCACAAUGGGCGCAAGCCUGAUGCAGCGACGCCGCGUGAGGGAUGGAGGCCUUCGGGUUGUGAACCUCUUUCGCCAGUGAAGCAGGCCUGCCUCUCUUUGUGGGUGGGUUGACGGUAGCUGGAUAAGAAGCGCCGGCUAACUACGUG
rnacentral:rRNA from 1 species